AGGUGAAUGACAAGCUUUUAGCUGCACUUCAGCAAUAUCCAUGUUUGGGUCUGCAAGAAGUAUCAACAAUGAAGGUCAUUGUGUUGGUGAUCAUGUCAAUGCUUCUUACCAAUUCAUGCCAAUGUGUCAGUUCAAGGAGCAUCGAGGGGAAUGCAAUGCAAGUGAAGAGCAUGCGCAAACUGACUUCUAUUUCUGUUUAUGGAAGGAGUACCCCUGCUGGUGAGGAAAUUCAUCAUGCGUGUCCACUAUUGAACUACCCCUGCCAAGGGAUGUUCCACAGUUCCAUGGAGAGCACAGAAGAAGAAGGUGGGAAACUAACUCCCGUUAUUAUCAUUGAAAUAACUUAAGAUAAGUCAUAGUGCGAGAUCAUGCACGUGCUUGCUAUGUAACUUUUAUCUUGUUUUGAGGACUUAAUGUUCAAGUACGUGUAUAUUGUACUUCUGAAAUUAUUAUAUUUAUAAAUAAGAGUCUUAAAAA